GUGACUUCCACCAUUUUAUAGUCAAAUUGCUUUAGUUCGUUUGGUUUAACGCCGACACUAGCAAAUGUAUAAUCAAAGAACUUCACAAUAUUGUUGCCUAAGAAGCCUUUGAAUUCAAUAGUGUCAUUUCCAGCAAUUUGUUCGGCAACAAUACUUGCUGCACGAUGAGCGCC
rnacentral:snRNA from 1 species